rnacentral:rRNA from 1 species
GACGAACGCUGGCGGCGUGCUUAACACAUGCAAGUCGAACGGAAAGGCCCUGCUUUUGUGGGGUGCUCGAGUGGCGAAAGGGUGAGUAACACGUGUGAAACGUGCCCUUGACUUCGGGAUAACUUCAGGAAGCUGGGGCUAAUACCGCUAAGGCGCUCUUGCUGCAUGGGGGGGGUCGGAUAGUUUGGGCGGUUGGUGUAGGACUCGCGGGUUAUCAGCUUGGCGGUGGGGUAGUGGCUUGCGUAGGCUUUGACGGGUAGCCGGCCUGAGAGGGUGACCGGCCACAUUGGGACUGAGAUACGGCCCAGACGCCUACGGGAGGCAGCAGUGGGGAAUAUUACACAGUGGCCGGGAGGCUGAGUCGGCAACGCCGCGUGUGGGAUGACGGCCUUCGGGUUGUAAACCGCUUUCGCCUGGGACGGAGCGUUAGUGACGGUAAUGGGUAAAGAAGCACCGGCUAACUACGUG